CGGCAACAGCUCAAAUUUGAAAUCUGGCGCAAGCCCGAGUUGUAAUUUGCAGAGGAUGCUUUUGGCGCGGUGCCUUCUGAGUUCCCUGGAACGGGACGCCGGAGAGGGUGAGAGCCCCGUACAGUUGGACACCAAGCCUUUGUAAAGCUCCUUCGAC
rnacentral:rRNA from 1 species